rnacentral:rRNA from 1 species
CCUUGUACACACCGCCCGUCACACCACGAAAGCCGUCAGCACCCGAAAUUAUCUAAGCUAACCUGUAAGGGAGGCGGGUAAUGAAGGUGAAGAGGGUGAUUGGGGUG